rnacentral:rRNA from 1 species
CACGUAGGGCGCAAGCGUUGUCCGGAAUUAUUGGGCGUAAAGCGCGCGCAGGCGGUCCUUUAAGUCUGCUGUGAAAGCCCACGGCUCAACCGUGGAGGGUCAUUGGAAACUGGAGGACUUGAGUGCAGAAGAGAAGAGUGGAAUUCCACGUGUAGCGGUGAAAUGCGUAGAGAUGUGGAGGAACACCAGUGGCGAAGGCGACUCUUUGGUCUGUAACUGACGCUGAGGCGCGAAAGCGUGGGGAGCAAACAGG